UGCUAUUACGUGCCAGCAGCGCGUAUAGUAGUGCCAGCGUAUCAGAUAUCGGCGUAAGCGCGGCAGCGUCUCUAGUCUGAUGUGAAGCCCACGCUCACCGUGGAGGGUCAUGAAACUGGAGACUUGAGUGCAGGAGAGAAAAGUGGAACUCCACGUGUAGCGGUGAAAUGCGUAGAGAUGUGGAGGAACACCAGUGGCGAAGGCGGCUUUUUGGCCUGUAACUGACGCUGAGGCGCGAAAGCGUGGGGAGCAAACAGGAUUAGAUACCCUUGGUAGUCCACGCCGUAAACGAUGAGUGCUAGGUGUUGGGGGGUUCCACCCUCAGUGCUGAAGUUAACACAUUAAGCACUCCGCCUGGGGAGUACGACCGCAAGGUUGAAACUCAAAGGAAUUGACGGGGGCCCGCACAAGCAGUGGAGCAUGUGGUUUAAUUCGAAGCAACGCGAAGAACCUUACCAGGUCUUGACAUCCUCUGACCACUCUAGAGAUAGAGCUUUCCCCUUCGGGGGACAGAGUGACAGGUGGUGCAUGGUUGUCGUCAGCUCGUGUCGUGAGAUGUUGGGUUAAGUCCCGCAACGAGCGCAACCCUUGACCUUAGUUGCCAGCAUUCAGUUGGGCACUCUAAGGUGACUGCCGGUGACAAACCGGAGGAAGGUGGGGAUGACGUCAAAUCAUCAUGCCCCUUAUGACCUGGGCUACACACGUGCUACAAUGGAUGGUACAAAGGGUUGCGAAGCCGCGAGGCCAAGCCAAUCCCAAAAAGCCAUUCUCAGUUCGGAUUGUAGGCUGCAACUCGCCUACAUGAAGCCGGAAUUGCUAGUAAUCGCGGAUCAGCAUGCCGCGGUGAAUACGUUCCCGGGCCUUGUACACACCGCCCGUC
rnacentral:rRNA from 1 species